ensembl:snoRNA
GGGUCACUUCAAAGAGGGUUUGCGUGGCUGAAAAACCAGCAGCUCUUAACGCAGUGACCGUACAUUGAAAUCCUCUGCAGGAUGCUGUGGACACGUUGUGUGUGCUGUGGUCUAUUUCUGAGGAGAUAAAACC